rnacentral:rRNA from 1 species
CAGUCGCCGCGGUAAAACGAAGGGUGCAAGCGUUACUCGGAAUUACUGGGCGUAAAGCGUGUGUAGGUGGUUGUUUAAGUCUGUCGUGAAAGCCCUGGGCUCAACCUGGGAAUUGCGAUGGAUACUGGGCGACUAGAGUGCGGUAGAGGAUAGUGGAAUUUCCGGUGUAGCAGUGAAGUGCGUAGAGAUCGGAAGGAACAUCUGUGGCGAAGGCGACUAUCUGGGCCAACACUGACACUGAGACACGAAAGCGUGGGGAGCAAACAGGAUUAGAUACCCCCGUAGUCCCUGUCUCUUAUAU